rnacentral:rRNA from 1 species
AGUCGAGCGGUAGAGAGAAGCUUGCUUCUCUUGAGAGCGGCGGACGGGUGAGUAAUGCCUAGGAAUCUGCCUGGUAGUGGGGGAUAACGUUCGGAAACGGACGCUAAUACCGCAUACGUCCUACGGGAGAAAGCAGGGGACCUUCGGGCCUUGCGCUAUCAGAUGAGCCUAGGUCGGAUUAGCUAGUUGGUGGGGUAAUGGCUCACCAAGGCGACGAUCCGUAACUGGUCUGAGAGGAUGAUCAGUCACACUGGAACUGAGACACGGUCCAGACUCCUACGGGAGGCAGCAGUGGGGAAUAUUGGACAAUGGGCGAAAGCCUGAUCCAGCCAUGCCGCGUGUGUGAAGAAGGUCUUCGGAUUGUAAAGCACUUUAAGUUGGGAGGAAGGGCAGUAAAUUAAUACUUUGCUGUUUUGACGUUACCGACAGAAUAAGCACCGGCUAACUCUGUGCCAGCAGCCGCGGUAAUACAGAGGGUGCAAGCGUUAAUCGGAAUUACUGGGCGUAAAGCGCGCGUAGGUGGUUCGUUAAGUUGGAUGUGAAAUCCCCGGGCUCAACCUGGGCACUGCAUUCAAAACUGACGAGCUAGAGCAUGGUAGAGGGUGGUGGAAUUUCCUGUGUAGCGGUGAAAUGCGUAGAUAUAGGAAGGAACACCAGUGGCGAAGGCGACCACCUGGACUGAUACUGACACUGAGGUGCGAAAGCGUGGGGAGCAAACAGGAUUAGAUACCCUGGUAGUCCACGCCGUAAACGAUGUCAACUAGCCGUUGGGAGCCUUGAGCUCUUAGUGGCGCAGCUAACGCAUUAAGUUGACCGCCUGGGGAGUACGGCCGCAAGGUUAAAACUCAAAUGAGUUGACGGGGGCCCGCACAAGCGGUGGAACAUGUGGUUUAAUUCGAAGCAACGCGAAGAACCUUACCAGGCCUUGACAUCCAAUGAACUUUCUAGAGAUAGAUUGGUGCCUUCGGGAACAUUGAGACAGGUGCUGCAU